GGCUGUCUGAAGCUCCUCUCCGGGGCCGGGGAGCCGAAGCCCCGGGAGUCCCCGACGACUGAGCCGCCCCCGAAGUGUCCUCCAGUGUUGGCGGCGCCGCCGCUCCCCCCUCCCCGCUGCAGAGGAAUGGUAAACCUGAUCUGUGACGUCCAAACUGGAUGGAAAUCUCCUGAUUUAUGAUUUGUUGAUUCUCGGGUUGGGAUGCAUUUCAGCCAGGGUGCCUCUGUGUGUCUGAGUGUGCGUGUGUUAUUGUAGUAGGCCCUCAAUGUGCACUCUGGUGUGCAUAUUUCAUUGUGACUCUGACACACAAACACACACACACACACACACACACACACACACACACUACACACUACACGCUACAUGCACAAGGGCCAGAACAUGGGACAGAUGAAGAAUUCCAGAUUUCUGUGUGUGAAAUGAUACAAAUGAAUGCGCUCUGUGGGGAGUGUGUGUGUGUCUGUGUGUGUGUGUGUGUGUGUGUGUGUGCAGUUGCAGGCCAGAUUUCAGACACUCAGCUGCUCGCACACGGAGCAUCAGCGAGAGAAACCAGCAGCUGGAAUGGAAAUCAUCUUGAAUAUUCCAAAAUACCCGGGCAGAUAAAAAACUGCUGCAAGAGGCUGCACCAGAGGAGGAAAAAUCCACCAAACAGAAUCCAGAUUUAUUAUUUUACCCACAAGAGUUUUGAUAUCAACACUAAAUCAGCUAAACUGCUGUUUCUGAAAGCGGACUGAGAGGGGCUUUAAAACACAGGAGCCAAAGUGUGCCAGGAAUGCAGGGACAGGCAGGAGGAGGCUCUGACCCAGUUGGCACACACUUCUCAACACACUCCCCUCAUUAUAUAUAGAUUUCCAGAGUCCCACUGAAUAUUUGUGCCAUGAAACAACUCGCUCACCAUUUUGAUCCAAACAAAUUCCACAGUUUCAGAUAAGAGAGGUCAGUGGCUCUGAUUUAUCAGAUGGAAAAACUACCGUCGUGAGCUGGAGAUCAUUUAUGUAUUACAUCCUAUUUCUGUAUCUGUCAUUAUAAUAUUUUGUUCUGAGGAUGGUCAGGAUUCAGGGUUUGAAUCCCUGUUAGAACAAGAUGCUUGAGCCAGAGUCACACAAGAUUUUUUUACCUGCACAAAUGUGAAAGUAAUUUACUGUAAUUUCUAGAGUGCUUAAAUCUGAAAUUCAAGAUAUUAAAUGCUGUUAAGAUGCUUUAGUUUUGCAGUUAAAAUCUUACAGAUUUGAUGGUUUAACAAAAUGGUUUUAAACAAUGCGGCUUGAAAAGUUUGAAACCAUUUAAAAUGUAAUUUCUAGGAGACGGGGUGUUGAAGUGGACAAUAUAAAUAUAAAUCAUAGACAAAAUAAACAACCAACCAACAUUCUUUGCCCCAAAAUAUGAAAAGCACUCUCCCAGACAGAGAGUGCAGUUGGUGUGUGUUGGUCGGUAAAAUGAGCCCUCUCAGUCUCAGUGAAAUCAUUUCCAUUGUGUUUAACAUAGAACAUCUGCCAGCAUACAGUUCACCUUACAGCAGAGGUUGUGGCAGUGGGAAAGGAGCCGGUGACCCUGGCAUGGCCAGAUCAAACCCUCUGCUCUAAAACUAUGUUCCAAUUAGCUCGUUUGUUCCUCAGCAUAAGUAUGACUGAUCGCAGCAUUUUGCACUGAAAUAAAAUGUACUUCCUCUCUCACAAAAUGUUUUAUUUUCUCACUGUGGUUUUACUUAUUUACUGACAACCCCAUGUCAUAUAUUGCAUUGGCACCACUCCCUACAUCUGAAUCUGAACAGGCUUUUAUUGGCAAUCUUAAUGUGUCUACUCCAGCUCAAUAUAGUCAGUGCCACCAGUGGAAUAGCGUUGGAUGAGCUGCGACUUUACAGCAGAUGUGGGUUCCUCCACAUGCUAUUAUGAAAAAGCUAAUAAAACAUGUAUGGUA